rnacentral:rRNA from 1 species
CGAUGAACCACUUCGGUGGGGAUUAGUGGCGAACGGGUGAGUAACACGUGGGCAAUCUGCCCUGCACUCUGGGACAAGCCCUGGAAACGGGGUCUAAUACCGGAUACUGACCCUCACGGGCAUCUGUGAGGUUCGAAAGCUCCGGCGGUGCAGGAUGAGCCCGCGGCCUAUCAGCUUGUUGGUGAGGUAACGGCUCACCAAGGCGACGACGGGUAGCCGGCCUGAGAGGGCGACCGGCCACACUGGGACUGAGACACGGCCCAGACUCCUACGGGAGGCAGCAGUGGGGAAUAUUGCACAAUGGGCGAAAGCCUGAUGCAGCGACGCCGCGUGAGGGAUGACGGCCUUCGGGUUGUAAACCUCUUUCAGCAGGGAAGAAGCGAAAGUGACGGUACCUGCAGAAGAAGCGCCGGCUAACUACGUGCCAGCAGCCGCGGUAAUACGUAGGGCGCGAGCGUUGUCCGGAAUUAUUGGGCGUAAAGAGCUCGUAGGCGGCUUGUCGCGUCGGUUGUGAAAGCCCGGGGCUUAACCCCGGGUCUGCAGUCGAUACGGGCAGGCUAGAGUUCGGUAGGGGAGAUCGGAAUUCCUGGUGUAGCGGUGAAAUGCGCAGAUAUCAGGAGGAACACCGGUGGCGAAGGCGGAUCUCUGGGCCGAUACUGACGCUGAGGAGCGAAAGCGUGGGGAGCGAACAGGAUUAGAUACCCUGGUAGUCCACGCCGUAAACGGUGGGCACUAGGUGUGGGCAACAUUCCACGUUGUCCGUGCCGCAGCUAACGCAUUAAGUGCCCCGCCUGGGGAGUAC